CAUUACCCACACUUGCGAACGCCAGCGCGUGAGUUCCAGUCCUAGCUUUGUUAAAUGACACGUGUGAUUUUACUCUUCUGACCAUUGAACCGCCCGGUGGACUAAACUGACGGUUACCUAUCAGUCGAAACAUUUGUCAACUGAACAUUGUUGUUUAGCUCUUUCGCUAUUAUUUCUGCGAAACUUCAAGCCAAAGCCUGUGGUUGAAAGUAAAAACAUAUAAAACAAACUUUUACAAAUUAUACCUUUUACAAUUAAUAUAAUUUCUGUGAUUUUAUAAAUUGUUAUCUACUAAUGUCUUGCAAUUUUGCAGUGGACGGAACGUAUAAAUGGUUGUUUGCGAACUAAACUGUUUUUUUUUUAGAAACUUGUACAUGCAUCUUUUCCG
rnacentral:lncRNA from 1 species